GAUCAUGGCUCAGAUUGAACGCUGGCGGAAUGCUUUACACAUGCAAGUCGAACGGCAGCACGGGGCAACCUGGUGGCGAGUGGCGAACGGGUGAGUAAUAUAUCGGAACGUGCCCAGUCGUGGGGGAUAACGUAGCGAAAGUUACGCUAAUACCGCAUACGAUCUAAGGAUGAAAGCGGGGGACCGUAAGGCCUCGCGCGAUUGGAGCGGCCGAUAUCAGAUUAGGUAGUUGGUGGGGUAAAGGCUCACCAAGCCAACGAUCUGUAGCUGGUCUGAGAGGACGACCAGCCACACUGGGACUGAGACACGGCCCAGACUCCUACGGGAGGCAGCAGUGGGGAAUUUUGGACAAUGGGGGAAACCCUGAUCCAGCCAUUCCGCGUGUGCGAUGAAGGCCUUCGGGUUGUAAAGCACUUUUGGCAGGAAAGAAAUCGCACAGGCUAAUACUCUGUGUGGAUGACGGUACCGGCAUAAGAAGCACCGGCUAACUACGUG
rnacentral:rRNA from 1 species